rnacentral:rRNA from 1 species
GACGAACGCUGGCGGCGUGCUUAACACAUGCAAGUCGAACGAAAAUACCAAGCUUGCUUGGUUGAUUAGUGGCGAACGGGUGAGUAACACGUGAGUAACCUGCCCCUUACUUUCCUGGAUAACUGCUCGAAAGGGUAGCUAAUACGGGAUAUUCUGACCAGCCUGCAUGGGUUGGUUUGGAAAGGUUGUUUUUCUGGUAAGGGAUGGGCUCGCGGCCUAUCAGCUUGUUGGUGGGGUGAUGGCCUACCAAGGCUUUGACGGGUAGCCGGCCUGAGAGGGUGGACGGUCACACUGGGACUGAGAUACGGCCCAGACUCCUACGGGAGGCAGCAGUGGGGAAUAUUGCACAAUGGGGGCAAGCCUGAUGCAGCGACGCCGCGUGAGGGAUGAAGGCCUUCGGGUUGUAAACCUCUUUCGUCAGGGAACAAGGCACUGCUUUUGUGGUGGUGUUGAGGGUACCUGGAUAAGAAGCGCCGGCUAACUACGUG